GUCUUUUUAGGGCCACACCCGAGACAUAUGGAGGUUCCCAGGCUAGGGGUCUAAUUGGAGCUACAGCUGCCGGGCUACUAUACCACAGUCACAGCCACGCCAGAUCUGAGCCAUGUCUGUGACCUACACCACAGCUCGUGGCAACGGUGGAUCCUGAACCCACUGAGCGAGGCUAGUGAUCGAACCCUCAACCUCAUGGUUCCUAGUCAGAUUCGUUUCUGCUGUGCCACAAUGGGAACUCAAGUUUAUCUUUUUCUGACUAUUACAACAUAUAUCCACAUGAGAGAAUAUAUAGAAAAUACAGAAAAAUAGAGACAUGAAAUUAAAGUACCCUGUGUCUUGUUAGAAAGCCCCCAAUAUUAUUUUUUUGGUCUAUUUUGUUGGUAAUUUUUUUUCAGUUUAUGUGGUUAAGAUCAUAUCGUGUAUGCAAUUUUUUUUUGGCCACACUCACAGCAUGUGGAAGUUCCCAGGCCAGGGCUUGAACCUGUGCCACAGCAGUGGCCCUGGUUACUGCAAUGACAAUGCCAGAUCCUUAACCCACUGUACCACAAUGGGAACUCCCUGUAAUAUUUUUACUUUGCUUUUUUAUUGUGGUUUAAAUACACAUGACAUAAAAUCUACCAUUUUAACCAUUUUAUUUAUUUAUUUAUUUUUCCUGUCUUUUAGGGCCGCACCUGCAACAUACGGAGGAGGUACCCAGGCUAGGGGUCGAAUCUGAGCUGUAGCUGCCAGCCUAUGCCACAGAUCACGGCAACACCGGAUCCUUAACCCACUGAGCAAGGCCAGGGAUUGAACUUGCGUCCUCAUGGAUGCUAGUCAGAUUCGUUUCCGCUGAGCCACAGUGAAAACUCCUUAACCAUUUUAAAGCAUACCGCUCAUUCGGCAUUAAGUACAUUCCCAUUUUUGUGCAGCCAUCACCACCAUCCGUCCCCAGAACUUGUUCAUCUUCCCAAACCAGAACUUUGUACGAGCUGCAUCUGUGACCUACACCACAGCUCAUGGCAAUGCCAGAUCCUUAACCCACUGAGCGAGGCCAGGGAUCGAACCCGCAACCUCAAGUUUCCUAGGUGGAUUCAUUUCUGAUGCACCACAAAGCGAACUGCAGUGGUAGCCUACUUUUUUAAAUUUUUAAAAAUUUUUCCCACUGUACAGCAAGGGGAUCAAGUUACACUUACAUGUAUACAUUUUUCCCCCCACCCUUUGUUCUGUUGCAAAAUGAGUAUCUAGACAUAGUUCUCAAUGCUACUCAGCAGGAUCUCCUUGUAAAUCUAUUCCAAGUUGUAUCUGAUAACCCCAAGCUCCCGAUCUCUCCCACUCCCUCCCUCUCCCGUCGGCAGCCACAAGUCUAUUUUCCAAGUCCAUGAUUUUCUUUUCUGUGGAGAUGUUCAUUUGUGCUGGAUAUUAGAUUCCAGUUAUAAGUGAUAUCAUAUGGUAUUUGUCUUUGUCUUUCUGACUCAUUUCACUCAGUAUGAGAGUCUCUAGUUACAUCCAUGUUGUUGCAAAUGGCAUUAUGUCAUUCUUUUUUAUGGCUGAGUAGUAUUCCAUUGUAUAUAUAUAUAAUCACAUCUUCCUAAUCCAAUCAUCUGUCGAUGGACAUUUAGGUUGUUUCCAUGUCCUGGCUAUUGUGAAUAGUGCUGCAAUGAACAUGUGGGUGCAUGUGUCUCUCUCUCUUUUUUUGUCUUUUUGUCUUUUUUUUUUUUUGUUGUUGUUGUUGUUGCUAUUUCUUGGGCCGCUACCACGGCAUAUGGAGGUUCCCAGGCUAGGGGUUGAAUCGGAGCUGUAGCCACCGGCCUACGCCAGAGCCAUAGCAAUGCGGGAUCCGAGCCGCGUCUUCAACCUACACCACAGCUCACGGCAACGCCGGAUCGUUAACCCACUGAGCAAGGGCAGGGACCGAACCCGCAACCUCAUGGUUCCUAGUCAGAUUCGUUAACCACUGCGCCACGACGGGAACUCCCAUGUGUCUCUUUUAAGUAGAGUUUUGUCGGGAUAUAUGCCCAAGAGUGGGAUUGUGGGGUCAUAUGGAAGUUCUAUGUAUAGGUUUCUAAGGUAUCUCCAAACUGUUCUCCAUAGUGGCUGUACCAGUUUACAUUCCCACCAGCAGUGCAGGAGGGUUCCCUUUUCUCCACAGCCCCUCCAGCACUUGUUAUUUGUGGAUUUAUUGAUGAUGGCCAUUCUGACUGGUGUGAGGUGAUAUCUCAUGGUAGUUUUGAUUUGCAUUUCUCUUAUAAUCAGCGAUGUUGAGCAUUUUUUCAUGUGUUUGUUGGCCAUCUGUAUAUCUUCUUUGGAGAAAUGUCUAUUCAUGUCUUUUGCCCAUUUUUCCAUUGAUUGAUUAGUUUUUUUGCUGUUGAAUUGUAUAAGUUGCUUAUAUAUUCUAGAGAUUAAGCCCUUGUCCAUUGCAUCAUUUGAAACUAUUUUCUCCCAUUCUGUAAGUUGUCUUUUUGUUUUCUUUUUGGUUUCCUUUGUUGUGCAAAAGCUUUUCAGUUUGAUGAGGUCCCAUUGGUUUAUUCUUGCUCUUAUUUCUAUUGCUUCUCAGGUCAGGAGACUGACCUGAGAAGCCCUAUUGUUGGUGUUUUCCUACUUUUCCCUUGUAGAUAAAGCUUUGAGUAGUGGUUGGGACAUAAAACACUAUCUGUCCUUCUCUAUUUUUUUGUUUGUUUGUUUGUUUGUUUUUUUCUUUUUGGCUACUCCUGGGGCGUGUGGAAGUUCCUGGGCCAAGGAUCGAACAUGCACCACAGCAGCCUCUGGAGUGACAAUGCCAGAUCUUUAACCUGCUGAGUCACGAGGGAACUCUCAGGUUUUGGUUUGUUUGUCAUCAUUGGUUUUGAUAACCUCCACUACCAUUUUCCUCCUUGAGUCACCUGAUGGAAUGUUGGCUGAAGAGCAGCUGUUGUGGUCUGGGAAUGACCUUCAACUCUGUUAACCUGAGAAUUCACACAGUCCGAAGAGUUGGAAGGGACUUUGGAAGAAAUGCAGUUCAGAUGUAUUAUCUCUUUUUGCUACUUGAAUGCUUCCUGUGAUGGGGUGCUCACCCCACCACCGGGUCGACAAUUCCAUCACUCGACAGUGGUCUUGAGCGUGUUGAGGUGACCAGGGGAAGACGCAGGAAAGUACGUUUCUGGGAGAGGAACAGUCACGGCCACAUUUUCCAGCUUCGUCCUGUGUGCAUCAUCGGGGGCCUUGCUGGGCCGGCCUCUCGGUGGGUGAUCCUGUUUCUGUCACCCCAUGCAGCCCCUCCCUGCUUCAUCACUGGUCCAUUUCUUUUUUCUGUUUUUUUUUUUUUAUGAAUGAUUUUUAUCUUUUCCAUUAUAGUUGGUUUACAGUGUUCUGUCAAUUUCUGCUAUACAGCAAAGUGACCCAGUCACACAUACACACACAUUUUUUUCCUCACGUUAUCCUCCAUCAUGUUCCAUUUCUUUCUCUUUUUUGGGCUGCACCUAUGGCAUAUGGAAGUUCCAGGGCCAGGGAUGGAAUCCAUGCCUCAGUGGCAACCCGAGCUCUGGCAGUCACAAUGCUGGAUCCUUAACCCACUGAGCCAACAGGGAACUCCACUGGUCCAUUUCUAUCUUUUUUGUUUGUUUUUCUUUUGUCUUUUUAGGGCCACACCCCUCCACCCUAUGCAGGUUCCCAGGCUGGGGGUCAAAUAGGAGCAGCAGCUGCCAGCCCACACCACAGCCACAGCAACGCAGGAUCUGAGCUGCGUCUGUGACCUACACCACAGCUCGUGGCAAGGCUGGAUCCUUAACCCACUGAGCAAGGGCAGGGAUCGAAGCUGUGUCGUCAUGGAUACUUGUUGGGUUCAUCACAGCAGGAACUCCUGGUCCAUUUCUCAAACAUACAUUUCUUUUCUUGGCAUAUGAGCCCGAACCUGUUCCUUGUUCUUUGUCUUGAGUUUUCUAGGAGAUAUUCUGUUUUCAACCCUCCAGGACAGGCAAAGGCAAUGUCUAUAAUUAAGUGUGUCUGUUCUUAAAUUCCACACACCUUAAUGGAUCAUUCCUGCUGAGGGACAUGGAAGACAAGGUGAGGAAGUAAAACCUGUCUCCAACAUCCUAGACAUCCGGCCUGCCCGGUGGGAGGCAGGUGAAAAAAAUCCCCCAUCCACUGAGCUACAACGUACGUCUUUGCCCCAGAACCUCCUGAUCUGCCCCUUCUUGCUUCCAAGGAAGAGCACCUGGGAUUUAAACUGAUACAGAAGUCACUAUCGGUUGUCACCGAUGGCCAAGGACAAGGGUGAUGCAGAGACCAACAGGUAACUU
rnacentral:lncRNA from 1 species